GCAGCUGGAACAGGCUAUAAGGCUCAAGGGCUCAUGUGCCUAAUACAGGUCUUUAUUCAAGCAGGUAUUGUUCAAAUAGAGGUGCCUAUGAUGAAAAGUACAGCUGUUCAAAGUCACUUUGCCUCAAAUAACUGGAGACUAAAGGUUGAGUGGCAGAUUUGUAAUUCUUUAUCUUUAAAUAUCUCUGUAUAUUUUAAAAGUAAUACAUGUUCAUUUAGUCUGAAAAACUUCAAUUAGCACAAAUUCAUACAGAGUAAAAUGUAAAACACUCAUUGAUCAGGAUUUUUACCAACCAACUUCAUUCCUAGAGAUCCAUUUUUUUUUCCUGAGCCUGACUGAAACCAUGAUAAGAUCCGCAGUUCCCGGGGUGAGCCUGAUUUCAGAGCUCAGUGAUCUGAAGGAUAGAGAUCGUUCAGAAAAAGAACUCAUUAGCAUGACUCAAGAGUCUUGGAAGAUGACUGAGCAGAGGCCUGGCAACAUGAGGUGACUCCUUCAGCAUCACUCAGCAUGCUGGUGGCAGAGCUGGGAUCCAGGUGAGCUUACUUUUGAUGAGGCAUUUGCUUGUUGUGUUAAAUGACAACACUUCUACGUGGACUGGUUUUUUCUUUUUUCUUUUAGUGGCACUGCUAUCCUUCCCUAACCUCAUUAGUUUGUGACUGCAAAUACAUGCUUUCCUGUGGUUUAGCCUUUUUGCUGUCAUCUGCCUCUAAUUGCUGGAAAGGUUUUCUUUAUGCUGAGCUGAAAUCUCCUGUUUCAUUCUAACU